GAACGUGGCAGAUCUGUCUUAACGUAGAGCAUGGAGUCGACAUCUCGGGAAGGUCAAAGAGGGGUAGAGUUACUCCCCUUCUCCGAACCGGCUCUUCCAGCUACAGGAGUUCGUGCUUGAAUUUACUAAUGAGGUGUGUCAAGCCGUGAGGAGUCAGGGAAUGACCAAAUAAUAAUGAAAUGAAUUAGCAAAGACAUCAGACUUUAUCUCCUAGACCCUCUAAAACAUUCCUAGGAGGAAGCUUGGUUCCCUUAAACAGCAGCUCUUCAAAACAGGAUUCCACGUACAAAAUGCCUUUUGAUGUUACUGCAGGAAUGAGAGGGAACAGUAAUUUCCCCGCCACAGGAAGUUUGGUGUGUCCGUGGUUCCCAACGCUCAACCCCAGCAGUACAGAAGAUGAUGCAAGAAGAGAGCGAUGCACUGUAGCUGCAAAGUGGAAACAAGGUAGCAGGAAAGUGGAAACAACCCAAUAGCCAUCAUAAAGACAGUGGAUAAAACAAAUUGGGGUGCAUCUAUACAAUGGGAUAGUAAUAAGCUGUUGAUAAGCACAUGAAUGAAUCUGAGAAACAUCAUGCUAAGUGAAAGAAGCCAAACACUAGCAUGGAUAUAUGUACCUACUACAAUUCCCUUCAUAUGAAACUCUAGAGAAAGCAAAACUGAUCUCUACACUCAGCAGAUUAGUGGGUGUCUACUACUGGAGGUGAAGAUUGACGGGAAGGGGCAUGAGGGACGCUCCGGGGUGAUGGAAAUGUGGCUAUGUGUAUACCUUUGUCAGAACUCAUUGAAAUGUACACUUAAAAUGUAUGCUAUCUAUCUGUAAAUUACACCUCAAUGAAGUUGAUUUUAAAUCUA